AGCGAACGCUGGCGGCAGGCUUAACACAUGCAAGUCGAGCGGGCAUCUUCGGAUGUCAGCGGCAGACGGGUGAGUAACACGUGGGAACGUACCCUUCGGUUCGGAACAACUCUGGGAAACUGGAGCUAAUACCGGAUACGCCCUUAUGGGGAAAGGUUUACUGCCGAAGGAUCGGCUCGCGUCUGAUUACCUGGUGGGUGGGGAAACGGCCUACCAAGGCGACGAUCAGUAGCUGGUCUGAGAGGAUGAUCAGCCACACUGGGACUGAGACACGGCCCAGACUCCUACGGGAGGCAGCAGUAGGGAAUAUUGGACAAGGGGCGCAAGCCUGAUCCAGCCAUGCCGCGUGAGUGAUGAAGGCCUUAGGGUUGUAAAGCUCUUUUGUCCGGGACGAUAAUGACGGUACCGGAAGAAUAAGCCCCGGCUAACUUCGUG
rnacentral:rRNA from 1 species